GACGAACGCUGGCGGCGUGCCUAACACAUGCAAGUCGAGCGGAGUUGAUCGACGGAAGCCUUCGGGCGGAAGAUGAUUAACUUAGCGGCGGAUGGGUGAGUAACGCGUGGGCAACCUGCCUCGAAGACCGGGAUAACAGUUCGAAAGGGCUGCUAAUACCGGAUGUGGUCAAGUGUCAGCAUGGGCAUUUGAUUAAAGGGGAAACCCGUUUCGAGAUGGGCCCGCGUCCUAUCAGCUAGUUGGUGAGGUAAAGGCUCACCAAGGCAAUGACGGGUAGCCGGCCUGAGAGGGUGACCGGCCACACUGGAACUGAGACACGGUCCAGACUCCUACGGGGGGCAGCAGUGGGGAAUCUUCCACAAUGGGCGAAAGCCUGAUGGAGCGACGCCGCGUGAGCGAAGAAGGCCUCGGUUGUAAGACUCUGUCUGAGGGACGGAAGAAAGUAGACGGUACCGUCCGGACGGAAGACCGACGGCCGUAACUACGUAGCCAGCAGCCGCGGUAAGUAGUGUGU
rnacentral:rRNA from 1 species